rnacentral:rRNA from 1 species
GAUGAACGCUGGCGGCGUGCCUAAUACAUGCAAGUCGAGCGAACAGACGAGGAGCUUGCUCCUCUGACGUUAGCGGCGGACGGGUGAGUAACACGUGGAUAACCUACCUAUAAGACUGGGAUAACUUCGGGAAACCGGAGCUAAUACCGGAUAACAUGUUGAACCGCAUGGUUCAACAGUGAAAGACGGUCUUGCUGUCACUUAUAGAUGGAUCCGCGCCGCAUUAGCUAGUUGGUAAGGUAACGGCUUACCAAGGCAACGAUGCGUAGCCGACCUGAGAGGGUGAUCGGCCACACUGGAACUGAGACACGGUCCAGACUCCUACGGGAGGCAGCAGUAGGGAAUCUUCCGCAAUGGGCGAAAGCCUGACGGAGCAACGCCGCGUGAGUGAAGAAGGUCUUCGGAUCGUAAAACUCUGUUAUUAGGGAAGAACAAAUGUGUAAUUAACUAUGCACGUCUUGACGGUACCUAAUCAGAAAGCCACGGCUAACUACGUG